UGGGGGAUAUUGCACAAUGGGCGAAAGCCUGAUGCAGCGACGCCGCGUGGGGGAUGAAGGCCUUCGGGUUGUAAACUUCUUUUGCUCUGAACAAGGCAUGCCUUUGGGGUGUGUUGAGUGUAGGGGUUGAUUAGCGCCGGCUAACUACGUGCCAGCAGCCGCGGUAAUACGUAGGGCGCGAGCGUUGUCCGGAAUUAUUGGGCGUAAAGGGCUUGUAGGUGGCUGGUUGCGUCUGUCGUGAAAGCUCAUGGCUUAACUGUGGGUUUGCGGUGGGUACGGGCUGGCUUGAGUGCCGUAGGGGAAGCUGGAAUUCCUGGUGUAGCGGUGAAAUGCGCAGAUAUCAGGAGGAAUACCGGUGGCGAAGGCGGAUCUCUGGGCUGUUACUGACGCUGAGGAGCGAAAGCGUGGGGAGCGAACAGG
rnacentral:rRNA from 1 species